GUUCGGAAAAGAUAACCGCUGAAAGCAUCUAAGCGGGAAACUUGCCUCAAGAUGAGAUCUCACUGGGAACUUGAUUCCCCUGAAGGGCCGUCGAAGACUACGACGUUGAUAGGCUGGGUGUGUAAGCGUUGUGAGGCGUUGAGCUAACCAGUACUAAUUGCCCGUGAGGCUUGACCAUAUAACACCCAAACA
rnacentral:rRNA from 1 species